GCCAUCCAUUCAUCUAUCCAUUCAUUUAUCCAGUUAAUCAACAAACAUUGCAUGCCAGGAACUAUUCCAGAUACCUGGAUGUGGAAGAAACAGGACAUAUGUUGCCCUAGAAGAAUUUGCUUUUAAAAACGAGGACAAAGAGACAAAUAAUGAGCAAUCAAACAAAUAAAAAUAAUAACUUCUGAGAGUGAUAAAAGCUUUUAAGACAAUGAAAUAUUUUAAUGUAGAGUAUCUGGGGGUGGGGUGCGGAGGAUGGAUUUUUUGGAGAAUGUUAAGAAAUAACUUUUGAAACAGGCACGUGGAAUAUGGAAACCUGGAAGGGGAGCAUCCCAGGAAGGUGAAAUGGCACCGCUGAUGUCAGAGUUGGGAAGGCUGUCAUGGACCAGAGCAAGCAGGGGAGAAGAUGGAUGGCUCCAGGAUUCAGGGAACAUGCGACCGCAGAUUCACAGAUCACCCGGUGUCAGCCGUGUGUAAAGCAGAAGGACCAGUCCAGCAGUCACUCACUCCUCAGGGAAGAUGGCUUCCUGUGUGUGAACUUCCACUUUGACCCAAGGCUUCCCCAGCUGGCCUGGAGUCCCCACAGACCUGGGAGAUUGAUGCAUGGUUCCAUGUGGCCAUAGAACCUCCUUCCUGGAUGCAGGAUUUCUAGGUGUGAAUCUGGGAGAGCUGUUCCUGGAGCCCCUGGCCCAUGAGGCUCAGAUCCUUGAUGCACAGCCUGCUUCUAAGCCUCAUGGACUUUGACUCACUGUGAUUCCCCCACGGUGACCUCAUCAGCUUAUCUCAGGCUCAAAAACAUGCCAGCACUGCUCUUAACUUUAUAAGUGUUGGCAAGGUGUCAGACACUUGGUUUUCACAAAUGUCUUUGUCCCCUUAAAUUCCAGGGGAGGUGCCAAAAAGUGGCAUCCUAUCCACAGCCCAGGACUUGGAGGAAGUUACUUCUCACACUUGCCAACUCAGGUGUUUGAAGAACUGAGGUAGUGUUCUAAGCUGUUUGUGUGUAUUCUCUCAAUCCUCACAGAAUCCCAAUCAGGUAGGGGCUAUCAUCUCCACAUUUUGUUAAUGUGGAAACUAAGGAACAGAGAGGUUGAGUAAAUUAUCCCAAACUACACAGCUAAUUGAGGGAGUUUGAGGCUGUCCCAAAUGACAAUGAUGGCUCCCAAUUGCUUCAACUUGGUAUUCAAGACUAUGUCUACCAUACAGACUUUUUCUCUUUCUUUCCCUGACAACUUCCUCCUAGUUACUGAGUUAGAAUUUCAAGAGAAAAAUAAAUAAGAUAGAGGAUUUGAUCACCCUUUCGCUGUAUGUCCUUUUAAUUCUCCAACUCAGGGUGGAGGCAUGGGGGGCAGCUCAGGGUCGAGGUGGGGCAGAGGUGUCACAUACAGUGGGAAUUCAGGGGGGAUUCCCAGUUAGCAGCUCCAUUGCUCCCCAAAUGUGCCUAUUUGGCCCAGAAGAGCAGAGAGGAUCCUUGCGGGAGUGUCUCACCUCCUACUUGAAAGCCCUGGCCUGAACUCUCCUGCCUGUGUCCUGUGGACCCAGGCUGAGCCCUGAGACGGAGAUGAGCUGAGCUCCUCUGUGGGCAGUCACAGCCCAUCCCCAUAGGUACAGAGGAGACCCAGUGGGGAGAGCUCUUACCCUGCUGCCACCACCAAACUCGUGAAACUGGGUGCUGAGGGCAGG
ensembl:lncRNA